rnacentral:rRNA from 1 species
UACGUAGGGUGCAAGCGUUAAUCGGAAUUACUGGGCGUAAAGCGUGCGCAGGCGGUUUUGUAAGUCUGUCGUGAAAUCCCCGGGCUCAACCUGGGAAUUGCGAUGGAGACUGCAAGGCUAGAAUCUGGCAGAGGGGGGUAGAAUUCCACGUGUAGCAGUGAAAUGCGUAGAGAUGUGGAGGAACACCGAUGGCGAAGGCAGCCCCCUGGGGUCAAGAUUGACGCUCAUGCACGAAAGCGUGGGGAGCAAACAGGG